GAACUGAAGAGUUUGAUCAUGGCUCAGAUUGAACGCUGGCGGCAGGCCUAACACAUGCAAGUCGAGCGGAUGAAGGGA
rnacentral:rRNA from 1 species